GCUAGCCAAUACCUCCAAAGUAAAAACACCGAGUCAUCUUCUUCUUCUUCACUGAUAUCCGCCCCCAUCUCUCUCUCUCCAAAAAUCUUCUUCUUCACUGAUACACUGCUAAAAACUCCGAUACUCCCAUAUCUCUCUCCGAUGCCCUAAAAAACCCUCAAUUUUCUCCAGUCUCCAUAAUCAUUUACAAACUAAGGAGAAACAAUUCGGAGACCCAAAAAUACGAAGGUAAUAAGAUUUUUGUUGCUCUCUUUGCAUUUUCUGGCUCUUAAUCGAGAUAUCUGGCCUUAUUCUUUAGUUCAAGCGAAAUAAAUUUGGUAUUAUAUAUCACGUUUUAGAUCUAUAUAAACUCGUUCUAUAAUCCUUUAGUCAGUUUGACAUCUGUCUUUACACUUCAGAUAUACUAGUGUCGAUGGCUAAAUUCUCGUGGUAUUUUAUUAAAGGUUGAAUAUGUAAACAAAGUUGGAUUUUGGGUAUUUGAAGAUUUUUGGAAUUAUUUUUAAACAAAUUGUUGGUUCAAAGUUGCUAAGCGGGUUAACGGAGAAGACGACCUAGGAUUCGUUAUUUUUGUGAGUGUCUGAACAAAUUGGUUUUGGGGUAUUAUUCUAAUUGGUGUCGACAAGUUGUGGCUGAAGCUUGGGUUCAUUUGUUUGAGGAUUGCUCGACAAUCAAAUUUCUGGUGCUGAAGCUCGAAGAACAGCUUCAAAUUUCUGGAGUUGAGUGCCUGAAGCUAUUGCGUAGCCUAUGCACUCCUCGACGCAUCAGAGGAAAGCGGAUCAUGAAUCUGGAAGGGCGCUCUAGUAAAAAUAAAAAAAUUAACAAAAUGCAUUGCAGCUGGAUCGCUUGCAUCUUUGCGAAACCUAAAGGUUUCGUCAUUGAAAACAAAUAGAGUAUUAAAGCUCCAAGGUCACUGCCUCUGCAUUCUACUUCUACACCAGCACAAACAGUACAUGAGCAAGUGCAACAAAUGCCACUAAACUCUACACCUUCUGCAUCACAAGCAGUGCGUGAACAAUUGCAGCAUUCCACUGCUACAGGUGGAUCACUGCCUUUGCAUUCUACUUCUGCACUAGCACAAACAGUACAUGAGCAAGUGCAACAAAUUCCACUGAACUCUACCUCUCUUGCAUCACAAGCAGUACGUAAGAAAUUGCAAUAACUACCAUUGGAUUCCACCCCUCGUACUUCACAAACGGUACAAGAACAAGUUGAGGAUUCUUCCAAUCAUGAAACAAACGAGCAAUCCGAGGAACAAGACAAGAACAUAUAGAUUUCAAUCGUCAAAUUCAAUAACGUAAUGACUUUUGGUGAUUAUUCUUACUUCAUAUUAAUGUAGGUCCUUCUGCCGAAAAAACGAAAAAGAGGAAAAACUCAGAUGAAAAGUGUUCAUGGUAGGAAAGAGCGCAAGCAAAUUGUGCUAAAUGAGAACAAUCAACCCAUAGGUCCUACUGAUGAUGAUGUAAAUGAGUUGGGUAGCUUCCUUGGUAUAUUGGCAAGGAAUGCGACCUUUGUCCUCUUAAUGUGUUUAAUUGGAGGAAACUUGAGACAAAAGAAGAUAUGUAGAAAUAUGUCAAGGUUUGAAAUUCGCAA